GAAACGACUGCUAAGACUGGAUAGGAAAUUAGAAGGCAUCUUUUAAUUUUUAAAAGACCUUUUUCGAAAGGUAUACUUAAAGAGGGGCUUGCGGCACAUUAGUUAGUUGGUAGGGUAAAAGCCUACCAAGACCAUGAUGUGUAGCUGGACUGAGAGGUUGAACAGCCACAUUGGGACUGAGACACGGCCCAAACUCCUACGGGAGGCAGCAGUAGGGAAUUUUCGGCAAUGGAGGAAACUCUGACCGAGCAACGCCGCGUGAACGAUGAAGUAUUUCGGUAUGUAAAGUUCUUUUAUUGAAGAAGAAAAAAUAGUGGAAAAACUAUCUUGACGAUAUUCAAUGAAUAAGCCCCGGCAAACUAUGUGCCAGCAGCCGCGGUAAUACAUAGGGGGCGAGCGUUAUCCGGAAUUAUUGGGCGUAAAGGGUGCGUAGGCGGUUUGGUAAGUCUAUAGUUUAAUUUCAGUGCUUAACACUGUUCUGCUAUAGAAACUAUCAGACUAGAGUGAGAUAGAGGCAAGUGGAAUUCCAUGUGUAGCGGUAAAAUGCGUAAAUAUAUGGAGGAACACCAGAGGCGUAGGCGGCUUGCUGGGUCUUUACUGACGCUGAGGCACGAAAGCGUGGGGAGCAAACAGGAUUAGAUACCCUGGUAGUCCACGCCGUAAACGAUGAGUACUAAGUGUCGGGGAAACUCGGUACUGAAGUUAACACAUUAAGUACUCCGCCUGAGUAGUACGUACGCAAGUAUGAAACUUAAAGGAAUUGACGGGACUCCGCACAAGCGGUGGAUCAUGUUGUUUAAUUCGAAGAUACACGAAAAACCUUACCAGGUCUUGACAUACUCUGCAAAGCUAUAGCAAUAUAGUGGAGGUUAUCAGGGAUACAGGUGGUGCAUGGUUGUCGUCAGCUCGUGUCGUGAGAUGUUAGGUUAAGUCCUAAAACGAGCGCAACCCUUGUCACUAGUUGCCAGCAUGUUAUGAUGGGCACUUUAGUGAGACUGCCAAUGAAAAAUUGGAGGAAGGUGAGGAUCACGUCAAAUCAUCAUGCCCCUUAUGAUCUGGGCUACAAACGUGAUACAAUGGCUGUUACAAAGAGUAGCUAAAACGCGAGUUUAUAGCCAAUCUCAUAAAAGCAGUCUCAGUUCGGAUUGAAGUCUGCAACUCGACUUCAUGAAGUUGGAAUCGCUAGUAAUCGCGAAUCAGCAUGUCGCGGUGAAUACGUUCUCGGGGUUUGUACACACCGCCCGUCA
rnacentral:rRNA from 1 species